UUAGAGUUUGAUCCUGGCUCAGAUUGAACGCUGGCGGCAGGCUUAACACAUGCAAGUCGAGCGGGGGAAGGUAGCUUGCUACCGGACCUAGCGGCGGACGGGUGAGUAAUGCUUAGGAAUCUGCCUAUUAGUGGGGGACAACAUCUCGAAAGGGAUGCUAAUACCGCAUACGUCCUACGGGAGAAAGCAGGGGAUCUUCGGACCUUGCGCUAAUAGAUGAGCCUAAGUCGGAUUAGCUAGUUGGUGGGGUAAAGGCCUACCAAGGCGACGAUCUGUAGCGGGUCUGAGAGGAUGAUCCGCCACACUGGGACUGAGACACGGCCCAGACUCCUACGGGAGGCAGCAGUGGGGAAUAUUGGACAAUGGGGGGAACCCUGAUCCAGCCAUGCCGCGUGUGUGAAGAAGGCCUUAUGGUUGUAAAGCACUUUAAGCGAGGAGGAGGCUACUUUAGUUAAUACCUAGAGAUAGUGGACGUUACUCGCAGAAUAAGCACCGGCUAACUCUGUGCCAGCAGCCGCGGUAAUACAGAGGGUGCGAGCGUUAAUCGGAUUUACUGGGCGUAAAGCGUGCGUAGGCGGCUUAUUAAGUCGGAUGUGAAAUCCCCGAGCUUAACUUGGGAAUUGCAUUCGAUACUGGUGAGCUAGAGUAUGGGAGAGGAUGGUAGAAUUCCAGGUGUAGCGGUGAAAUGCGUAGAGAUCUGGAGGAAUACCGAUGGCGAAGGCAGCCAUCUGGCCUAAUACUGACGCUGAGGUACGAAAGCAUGGGGAGCAAACAGGAUUAGAUACCCUGGUAGUCCAUGCCGUAAACGAUGUCUACUAGCCGUUGGGGCCUUUGAGGCUUUAGUGGCGCAGCUAACCGCGAUAAGUAGACCGCCCGGGAUACGUA
rnacentral:rRNA from 1 species